ensembl:lncRNA
CCAAGCGCGCCGGACGCCCCGGGAUCUGCGUGCAGGUGGACCCCUUCCCGCCGCUGGCGCGCUGCGCCGGUACACGACGGCGGUCCAGAGCCCGGACGCCAAGGCGGCGGCAGCGCAGAGCAAAGGAGCCUGUGGCAGUUCCUGCCGAGAUAGCGCCCAGCGACUGGAAACGAACCAGGAAAAGUCCUGAGUUCUCCACAGGUGUGUUUCCUGAGCCUGGGACCGAUACGCAAAACAAGGAGAAAUCAGCUGAUUUUCUACUACAGUUCGAACUUGUGGCUGCAGCACUCGGGGAGUCUGGGAACGGGCCAGCGUUCCAAGAGGCGGAGACACUGAUGGAGAGAAAACACGGGGCAGUGUGAAGUCUGGUCCUGUCCCCAUGCCCCAUGCCUCUCUGAGAGUACCCCACCCUCCUCCCUGUUAUCACAGUCCCCUUCUGCUUCACCUCCUCUCCGUUAAGGUCAUCAUGACCCGUAUGUUACUUGGCUAGUCCUGCAUUUGUCUUGCCAAGGAUGCCGCAGGGGUGAACUGGACAUGACACUAAGGACCUCGGCCAGACCCUCUCUAAGGGCCGUUUCUGAUGGCCCAUUUCCCACUGGAGGUCCCUCCUCGGCUCCGCUCUCUCUUUGACGGCAGCCAUCCCCCCUUCCUGCUGCCCAGCCCCCCUUUCAUCACCUCCCCCAGGAAACCAGUGACACAGCAAAAAAAAAGGUGGUUUCCAGAGAUGGUCCUCGGCUCACCGGAUGCCGAGUCCUUUGGGCUGCACACCGCUCGUACAGCAGGGAGCUCUGGGUCUUCAGGUGGAGGGAGUAUUGAGCGGGCUGCCCCCUCUCCAUCACAGACAGACAGCCUACGCUUAUCUGCAUUCCCCCUCCCUAAACCUCUCCAGGAGCCCUGGUCCUGCUAAUUGGAAAACGCUUGACUCCAUCCGAAUCCCCCUGGAACCAGGCCACUCAGCACAAGUAUAACAGAUUGACUGUGUCAGCCCAGGACUGAUUCUUAUUAACUCAAAGGGCAGGAGGCGACUCUGAG